GUCGGUGGGGAGCGCGACUGUAACUGCGCCCGCGCACCUCGUUGACGCUCCAACAUUAGCGAGCCGUAUCAAACACCACAGUGCAAUCAAUUUAUGCAAAUUACCGACGGGAUGGGACUGGACACGAAUAAAUUGGCUAUCAAGACCGGCAAUGGUCGGAUAUAUAAGUGCCAUGGGGACAUGAAAUAUAAUCCUUUGCGAGUGCACACGCAUAACACACGCGUAAUAAACGCUCAUAGACUGCGAUAUGCCUGCAAGAGAAGAAAGAGCAGCAGGAGUGUUAAGAAAAGUUAUGGAAAGUAUAAUUGUCAUCAUCAGAAAGAGCUGUACCAAACUUGCAAUUUUUAGGCAUGCCCGAUACUAUCAAUUUUACGAGUAUAUUAACUGACUUUUGACUCUUGAUCUAAUAGUGGACCGAUUUGAAUACAGUUUUUCAAUAACUAACAGUUUUACCUAAUAGUUAGUACUUGGUGUGUAGUGUAAACUAAGUAAUCCUGAUUCUGAGUAACUUGGCCAACAUUCAUCUGAUGCAAUUAGGGCAGCUUACGGACUACCAAAUUCCUCGACAACUGACAGGUGACGUUUAGGGUCACUGAUUUGUUAUUGCGAAUUUGUCUUCCUGGACAACAGGAAAAUCUCAGAUUGACUAAUCUUACAGGUGUCGUAAGAACAAGAAUGAAAAAAAUGUAUGAUUUUCUAUGGCAAUAAUAUCUUAGGGAAUGGAACGCAUUUUGUAAACUUAAUUUUGGCACCCUUUACUGAAUGUAAUUUCAUAACAAAUUGGAGUAAAUAAUCCGCUAUCA